rnacentral:lncRNA from 1 species
AAAGAGUGAGGACAAGCAGGAAGAGAGGGGGGAAGAGAGGGAGGUAAAGAGGGAAGGGGAGAAGAGAAGAGGGGGGAGGGGGGGGGGGGGGGGGGGGGGGGGGGGGGGGGGGGGAUAGAGGGAGAGAGAUCUGCCUCCCAAUCCCUCCCUCCACUCACUCCCUCCCUCCCUCCCUCUCUCUCUCCAAGCCUGUCUGUCCUGCCUCUCUCUCCACCCAGACAUGACUGGGGAUUGAUUUAGGUCAGCAAGUCUGGGGCUCUGCUGCACUCUGUCUCCACUCCCCAUUCAUUCGCUCAUCUGAAAAGGUCGACGAUGGUGAUCGUCGCAGGGACUUGCCAGAUGGGUGGUAGCAACAGUGCCGUGGUCUAGCCAGAGCCCAAAAUGAGAGGAUAGGAUGCCAGGACGCCGGGCCCGAGUUGAUUGGCACCUGAACGACGAAAGAGGAGGUGAGAUGAAGAGGAGGGGAAGAGUAGAGUUAUUUUGUCUACAAGCAGACAAGUGCCAUCCAGCCAGAGGGGUCGUCGUCAGUCAGUAGGACUGUGUGUUAUUGCUUUAAGGCACCAUGGAUUUGACAACCAUCUGUCCACCGUCAAAAAACUGUGUUUCAAAUGCCAUAUUCUCUCUCUUCCAACCCAGAACAUAGAUCCACAUUUAUUUGUGCUCUUCUCUCUCUCUCUUUCUCUCUCUGUUUCGAAUAUUCCUUCGUGCAGUAGCACCGGGUAUGUCCUCCCAGGAACACGAAGGGGAGACGACACAUCGGGUAUGUCUUCCCAGGAACAUGAAGGGAAGACGACACAUCAGCUACAGCAGUGAGUGCUGGGCGUGCGUAAUGUGACAAAGGAACGCCCGUGUCGUCCUCGGCUCCGCCCUCUCUCGGAGUCAGCCUGGUGAAAGCGGAGCCUGCUGAAGAAUCUCUUCUCACCAGUACAACAACUCAACUGAGGGAGUCCGCAUGCAUGUGUCUAGACAUUUCCGUGUUUGCGAGCAGAGCUUGCACUGAAUGCACUCGCGCUGGAAAUAAAACGAGACUCACUGAACUGUUGAGUGACAUUAUGCCAUGUUUGUUAUUGUUAUGAACCCGACGAACCUGUAGGGGCCAUAAAAAUAUAAGUAUAUAAUUAAAUACAAAUGACUUUGUUAUAAACAUCAUAUUACACCUCUGUAUUAUAGAAGGGUCAACCAGGAUAUGUUAUUAUCAUAAAUUAGUAUAAUUACUCAUAUACAAAUAUAUGCUAGAACCUAUUUAUAUAUUCCCUCAAACAUUAUCUCUUUAUCAUAAUAGACCAUUACAGUCCAAACAAAGUGAACAAGUUGUUACAUGCUUCCCCUUAUGCAACAGCAGGCCUAUACUACUCUGAAUGAUAUGAUGCAUCGCAUUAGACUGGUUCCCAUACAUACAGCAACACCUUAAUGAUAUAGGUAUGGCUGGUUGGUGUAGAAAAAGUCCAAAACAUAAGUAUGUCUCUUUAAAGAGAGGUUUGUGUGUAUACUGGAAUGAGGUCAGACGUAAAGCUCCUCAUUGCACGCGCUGAUUAUUAUUAGAUUACUUCUUUUUUUUUUUGGUCCAAUGAGAAGAAACUGGGCGUGGUCUUGGCACUAGACAGGGUAGAGACAGCCACGGAUUGGCUGAAUUGUAUCGCCAUUAUAUCUUUGGAAAAGGAUAAAGCUGCACGGGGAGAAAUUAGAGGCUGCUGAAAGUUACCGAGUGCGCAGCUGAAAGGUGGAUCCUGGUUCUAG